rnacentral:rRNA from 1 species
GGAUUCAACGCCGGAAAUCUUACCGGGACCGACAGCAAUAUGAAGGCCAGGCUGAAGACUUUGCCGGAUUAGCUGAGAGGUGGUGCAUGGCCGUCGUCAGUUCGUACUGUGAAGCAUCCUGUUAAGUCAGGCAACGAGCGAGACCCACGCCCACAGUUGCCAGCGUACUCUCCGGAGUGACGGGUACACUGUGGGGACCGCCGCUGCUAAAGCGGAGGAAGGAAUGGGCAACGGUAGGUCAGUAUGCCCCGAAUAUCCCGGGCUACACGCGAGCUACAAUGGUUGGUACAAUGGGUAUCUACCCCGAAAGGGGACGGGAAUCUCCUAAAACCAAUCUUAGUUCGGAUUGAGGGCUGCAACUCGCCCUCAUGAAGCUGGAAUCCGUAGUAAUCGCGUUUCAACAGAACGCGGUGAAUACGUCCCUGCUCCUU